UUAACUCUAAUAUAAGUAGAGCACUAGCUCUUCUCCAAAUACAUCUACUUUUCUCCAUUCUUUUUCUUAAAGUGUAUCUCCCUCUCUUCUCCAAAUGAAGUUUUUCUUUUUCUUUUUCUUUUUAAUUAUUAUUUGUUUGUUUUCUGAAGACCCAGUUUGUGUUACUGAUUCUGUCUUAAUGGAGAGGAAUCCCUUUCAUCAACAAUCAUCUGUAUUGCUUCUAUCGACUAUUUUCUUCUGGAUGGAAGUGGAAUAUAACUCUUUUCUACCAAGCAGGAAUUCGUCCAAACCUAGAUGACAAAGCAGAGGCUGAAGAAAGAAACUGGAUCUCAAACCACACGGCAGGUCUAAGUUCUGGUUCCAAAAUCCGAUGAAUCCAGAUGAAAGGUGUGUACGUUUGGCAUUCCAUUCACCCCUUGAUCUUCCUUUUUCACUCUUUCUUGGUAACCCUGAAAAUUUGGCCCCCUAACUAAUAAACAUGUUAAUUUAGAAACAUUUCCAUUUACUUUUUUUGGCUCAAACCGCUUAUAUAGUCUUCAAUUAAUAUAGUCUCUGAAUUCUUUAAUCAAUAGAAAUAGAUGCUAUAGCUUUUAGGAUUAAGAUUGGUGGUGUUCAUGAUUUCAGGUUCCAUUGAUUUCAAUGCUUCUCUUUUGUAUAUGUAUGUGUGUGUAUAUAUUUAAUUCUCCGAUGGCUUUGUGAUGUGUGUACAUAUAUAUAUAUAUAUAUAUAUGUGUGUGUGUGUGUAUGUGUGUAUGUGUGUAGCGGAAAACGCGUCCCUGUAAAAUGAGAAGUCAGUCAGUUUUAUCAAGCAGAAUCUGAAAGUAGUCUAUGUUUGUGGACGGAAGAGGAAUGCUUGUUUUCUCCAAGCAAGGUAAAGGUUUUUACUUUUUGAUUUUUCUUGUUUUCUGGGACUAAAAAUCUGUGGUUUUGAUCCAAUUUCUUGUUUAUAUAGAUUCAGAUAAUUCAUUUCCUAUGUUUUUAUGGACAGUCUUUCUUGAGGGAAAUUUUUGAAUAAUCUGAAAAUAGUCAAAAGGGCAAAAUAAAUGGAAACAACAAGAUGGGGGUCAAUGGUGACUGUCCAAUUGUCUAUGAAUUUGACUGUGUUUCAGCAUGGAAGUGAAAUAAUUAUUUUCUACCAAGCAGGGAAAAUUUAUGGAAUCAGAAAGUAGUCUAUGGAAGAACAAGUCUAAAAAAGCAAAGAAAAACUAGUGUAAGGUGUAUUAAUCAGCUAGCCCUUAACAGAUUUUGAUUGUGGUUUUAAAAUUAUAUUUCUGGUUUUUGUUCAAUUAUUGAAUGUCACUUUGCACUUGCUCUUUCCUUUUUGCAAUGCAAUCCGCUACACAAAUGCAAAUGAAGAAUUGAGGAAUUGCAGAGAGAGCCUUAUAGAAUGUUAAUUUGAUUUGUAUGGUGUACAAUUGUAGAAUAACAUUUUUUGUAGAAACAGCUGUAGAAUAAUUGUAAAUAAUAAAAGAUGUAAGAAUGUUUUGGAUUUGGGGAGGAAGAAGACUGCUGGGAUUUGCCAGGUCUCUACCUCUCCCUGCUGUGAGUGUGGGGUUUUGGUGUGGUGUGUGCCCCUUUCUCUCUCUAUUUCACUUCCUCGCCGAUUUCUCUUUCCUUUC